GACGAACGCUGGCGGCGUGCUUAACACAUGCAAGUCGAACGGAGUGGUGAACGGGUGAGUACGACGUGGGUGAUCUUCCGUGCCCUUCGGGAUACGCUUGGGAAACUGGGGCUAAUACCGGCUAGUGCAAGAUGCGCUCGGGGCCUAUCAGCUUGGUGGUGGGGUAAUGGCCUACCAAGGCGUCGACGGGUAGACGGCCUGAGAGGGUGUACGGCCCCAUUGCGACUGAGGUAGGGCCCAGACUCCUACGGGAGGCAGCAGUGGGGAAUAUUGCACAAUGGGCCGACGCCUGAUGCAGCGACGCCGGGUGGGGGAUGAAGGCCUUCGGGGUGUAAACUCCUUCCGACAGGGACGCGGUACCUGUAUAAGAAGCACCGGCUAACUACGUGCCAGCAGCCGCGGUAAUAC
rnacentral:rRNA from 1 species